UUUGUACUCCCUCCAUCCCAAAAUUCUUGUCUAAAAUUUGUCUAAAUACAGAUGUAUCUAGUUACAUUUUAGUGUUAGAUACAUCCGUAUCUAAACAAAUGUAAGACAAGAAUUUUGGGACACAGGGAAUACGAC
rfam:Triticum aestivum genome assembly, contig: Triticum_aestivum_CS42_TGACv1_scaffold_594232_7BS